ensembl:lncRNA
GUGACUGUGAGCAGGAGGCAGUCAGGGAGCAUUCAGCAGUACUGCCUGCAUUGCCUAGCUGCAUGGUCAUAACACAUCGUUGUCUGGGGCAAGAGGGCAGCAGGCCAUGCAUGAACACACAGACAGACAAGGGGAUAUAAUGGUGCUCAGUUACUCUUAGGAACUGGAGAGAGUUCAGCGUUCCACGUUUUCACUGCCAAACAGUCUCUGAAAACAGAAAGCGCUGAGACUCGUGUUUGCUUGCUCCUAUUCCAAGUUUUUGAUUCAUCUCAACCCAUUUUUCCCCCCAAACAUGGGGUGCUCCUCAUCCAGUGCACAGACCGUUGAUCAAGAAAAAAGACCAGGCACAAAGCCUGAGGAGAGCAAUGGAGACACAGUGGCAGUCAAAAACGGCAUCAUUGCAGAAGAUCCUCAAACCAUCGAGGACCAGAUGCAGCUUCCUGUGCAGACUGCGUUACCCGAUGAUCUUCAGAGGGGUGCUGAUGAUGAAGCUGAGGCUGUGUUAGUGGCCCUGGAGGCCCAAGAGGACCUUGGCUCUGGGGAGGACCUUCUAGCUGCUUCUGAGGUAAAGGAAGAACCUACUGCUACUGAAGAGACAGCGCCAGAGGCUGCUGCUUCUGCUCCUGCUUCUGCUCCUGCUCCUGCUGAGCCUGAGGCUGCUAUAGCAAUUGUUGAGGCACUACCCCUGGCUGAAGAAGCUGCUCCUGUAGAAACUGUAGAGGCAGAAGCCCCUCCUGAGGUUGAAGCUCCUGUUGAGACUGCAAAAGAGGCCCCUGCUGUUGAAUCAUCAGCUGAAGCGGUGCAGGCAGAGGCCUCUGCCAUCACUGAGGAGGUGGUUGCAGUGCCUGACGCUGAACCGGUUAUAUCUGAGCCAACUGUGAACCCAGUUAUUACAGAAGAGGCUUCAGCCGAGGCUGUGGGGGCGCCUGCUGAAGUGGCUGCACCUGCGCAGGCCUCAGCAGACAAUUCUGAACCAGAGGCUGCUUUACCUGCACCAAGCGAAGCUUUAACAAAAACACCAGCUGAGUCUUCAGCACCAGCUGAAAUUUCAGAACCAACUGAAGCUGCACCACCUGCUGAACCCUCGGUGCCUAUUGAAGCUGCAGAGCCGGUAAUAGACACAGAGAUUGCUGCUGCAACUAUCCCAGAGAUGCCAGCGUUACCUUCUGUCAGAGAUGAGACCAAAGCUGAGCCACAGCCUGCUGCCGAGGAGCCGACAGAACCUACUCCAGCUCCUGCUCCAGCAGAGGCACCCGGCACCGCAGAGGAUGCCCCUGCUCCAGCUUUAGGAGUUGAACCUGCUGCUACUGAGCCGGUCCAGAAUGCAGAGGUUCCAGCUCCUGCUCCAGCUGCUUCAGAAACCCCUUCUGGGGUAACCUCAGAAGCUCCACCAGCCUGUGUCACCCAAGAGUCCACUGCAGACAGUGUAGCAGCAGUGGAGGCUCCUGUGGUUGAGCCCACCCCUACAGAAACUGAAGCACCUUCAGCACCAGCCCCAUCUACCGAUCCAGCUCCUGAAGAUUCACCAGGUGGUAUGGACCAUUAAUGGCUCCAGAUUACCUUUUCUUACUUACCUUUUCUUUCUUACUUGUCAAAACAGAUUUUUGGCACAGUUUUGGCACAGUUCAUACUCUGCAAUUUGCCACGGCCACAUGCCCUGCAGAGUAAAACUAAUAAGAGCUGAAGGAUUACAACUGGGUUUUAGAGGAUGAUAGCUGCCACUGAGCCUCUUGAGGGAGUUUAUAAUGACAGGUUUUCUUGUUGAUUUAUUUACUUGACUAAACACAGAGUUGUUUCACUGAUUAACCUGUCACGCUAAAUUUCACGUCAACCCAUCAUCCUGAUGUUGGAGACAGUUUUUGGGUGGAGGUCAGGCGCAGCAGCAUUAUUGCCGGUUGAAAUAGCUGCAGAACUCUAUGCAAACAUGUGAUAGAUGCUGAGCAUGUAGGAACAAGCUCAGAGGGGGAUGAAAAAGCUGAGCAGAAACAAACCUGGUAAUGAGUAACAAAUGGACAAGAGUAUGUUUGCAUCCAAGUAAACAAUUAACGGUCUGUCAGGUGGUCAAACACCAGAUCUAUCUUGUUGCAACACAUUCGGCCAAAGCAAGAGACUUCUGGUAAUUAAACACACAUAUGGUUAAUAACCCCAAACUCUCCAUAUUCUAAUCAACCGUCCACACACUCCUCUGUGUACUAAUGUGACUGCUUGGAGCUGACAGGAUCAGCGGGCUAUUGUUGGGCUGUGAGGCCGAACAGAUAGUGCAGUGUGAGAAACAGAAAGCACACACACUCAGAAAGAGAAAUGAAGGCUCGUCUUGAGAGUGUCAAUUAUUGCACAACAGCUCCAGUCAGGCAACUCUCACUCAUUGUGCUCUGUUAUGCACUGUCUACAGACCGAUCAUGCCCUGCUGCUUUCAAUUAUACGACUAUUAAAACACACUGAAGUUCAUCCUGCAAAUUUGUGAAGAAAAAUCAUUUUAAGGGCUCAUUUUGAAAGAAAAAUUGAGUCAACUUGAUUUUGAAUGCACGGUGAUUUGCUCCACUCUAACAAGCAGGAUUUUAUACCUAUACAUUUCAUUACAAUGUGCAGUGACUGAGUUAAAACUUCAGAAAGUAAGCCUUUACAUCUCUACACUUUCUCUACACUUUACUGGGUAACCUUGCAUAUUAAAUCAUAAUGUGCACCUCCAGUUGUCACCAGUGCUUUGCAAGGCCUUGCACACACGAUCUCUUUUUUGACCUUCACCCGACUCUUUAUGUUCAGAGAACAUGUUGUACUUUCAGGAUAGAAACAAGCCUCCACGCAGCAUGAGACGAAUGGACUUCUGGCAUGGAAGACGUGCUGUACUGCAUAAUUUUUAUGAGAAUUUUUUGCUCGAGGCUAUGUACUAGUUUCUGUGUUUCACGUUUAUAUAUCCUGGUUGGGACUUCAAUCUAACUGCACAUGUAAGAAUGAGAGGGGCUGUAAGGACAAUAAAAGCACAAAAAAGCUGUUUAUUUAAUGGUUAAGAAUUAGUUUUAGGGUAAGACACUAAGGUAUGCAUUAUUUCACUGAAUACCCUCCACAAGGAUAUAGAAGCAAAUGUGUGUGUACAUUGUAGUAACUUGUAAACGAGUUCAGAGGGACUCAUGCUGUUUUGUAUUGGUUAUAAAUUUGGCAGUUAUAAAUCCUCAGAGCCAGUCAGUUUUGACAUUAUCAUAGUUAAUGAAAAUGCCAUGCUAAUGUUUGUGUCUACAUAUAUAUGCAGUGGAGUCUGCAAGCGAGGUGUCUCAGGAUACAGAGGGUGAGAAAGCCAAAAAGGAGGACUGAGUUGGUAAGAGCACAGCCACAAACCAAACUAUAAUCCAGUGCAAACUCUGAAGGAUUAGACUUUUCUCUGCAGUCAGUGCAUACUUGUAAAAAAUAGUCUCCUACAGGUGGACUGGAUGCAUUUUGGUAGAAAAAACAGAAUUAAGUUGAAUUCUGUUUAUACUCAGUUACAAAGAUAAACUUGAAGAGUGAAAGUGUGAGUCAGAUGCUGAAGUGCUGACAUGUUUUUUUCUUUUCCUUUUAGAGAGGAAAGAAUGCAACAAAACGCCCAAAGCUACCACUGUAAACCUACUGGAAGGAGGACAAGAUGAAGUAAACAGAAGAAUAAAACAACUGAUUUUCAGUUUUGUCUCAUCAGCACUCACCAAACACCACAUUUCCUAAUAUUCACUGUGCCUUAAAAGCUUUCCUAAGAAUCUUUCCCAUAUUUGUAUAUAAACCUUUUCAGGAGAGGAACGGGAGGAGUAUGUGUUUUUUAAUGGGAAAUCAAGUCUCUGGAUCCACGUACUACACAUGUGGCCUGUGACAAGAGGGUGCAAUCCUCUGUAAAAUCUGUCAACUCUUGCUAGCAACUCUUUUGAGUUUUGAAUGGCAGUGUGCUGAAAUACAGGGAAGGAUACUCGGUUAUUUAAAGAAGCUGCUUCUGAGGAAUACAGCUGUGAAUAAAAAAACUUAAAGAACUCAAAACUGACAAGAAUACAAACCUGGAAUGACACACACUGGCUAGGUGUACACUGUACUUAGGCUGUAUUAAACUGAUUUGUAAUUGGUUGAAUUUCUAGUUUAUAAUUCUGACAUUAAACCAUAUAUUUUUGUUAACUGUUUGCACAUUAAUUGCAGCCUUUCCAAAGGGGCUCAUUUAUUCAAUAGGAAUGACAGUAAUAAGUGUUGAGUAACUCGGCACACAUGGUUUCAAUAUUUCAACAUUUAAUUGGUUCACAUUAAAGUGUUUUGAUUUGCUUAAAUGAAAAGUGGGCAAAGAUCACGUAUGCAGAGGGUUAGCACUUAUAUAUACUUUUAUAAUCAGUCGUUGGCGGGUUAAGGAUACAGACGAGGCCAUGUUGCUGUUCUGUGAAACCCUUCUGUGGUUGCUCCGUAGCUGGUGGGUGUUUGUGAACUUCUCUUUCUUAAAGUAAUGAACCUUCCAACAAAAGGAACUUCGGGGUAACACUGAUGUCAUACGCUUGUCAGUUUUAGAUUGAGGGCAUUACACUGCAUUGCCUAGUGGGCAGAAUAUGUAACUAAUUAGUUCUACAUGCUGAGUUUAAAAGUGUAAGGGCAUUAGAAAAUUACUGCAACCUCAUAAGAUGUGAUGAUGCUUUGGGAACAAAUUUUGUUUUGAUCUUUUUCAUUUUACUUCUCACUCCCUGUAAUAUAUUCAUUUUCUCUGACCGUGUCUAUGAUUCUGCUAACCUGUUAGUGUACAGAAUAAAGUUUUACUCACUAAUACUCUGUCUCUGUAACUGAAUUGUGACUGGAGAUUAUAUUGGCUUUUAGUAUAUGGUGACCACAGUCUCUCCAAGACCCCAGUGCAUACUGUAGUGUGUUUAGAGAAGCAUACGUACUUAAAACCACUCAAGCAUAAGACAUCUGAACAGUCACAAUACUCUGUUGCUGUAUUAGAGUGUGGCGCUGGGGAUAAAAGGCGCCCUGGUCCGACUACAUCCUUUAAAUGAAUUCAGGCUUUGCAUACGAGCUGCUCGCUGCU